rnacentral:rRNA from 1 species
CCUACGGGAGGCAGCAGUGGGGAAUAUUGCGCAAUGGGCGAAAGCCUGACGCAGCGACGCCGCGUGAGGGAUGAAGGUCUUCGGAUUGUUAACCCCUUUCAGCAGGGAAGAACGGUCACUGUGCUAAUCAGUAGUGAAUUGACGGUACCUGCAAAGGAAGCACCGGCUAACUCCGUGCCAGCAGCCGCGGUAAUUCGGAGGGUGCGUGCGUUAAUUGGAAUUACUGGGCGUAAAGCGCUCGUAGGCGGUAUGUCAAAUCAAGGGGGAAAUCCGCGCGCUCAACGUGGGAACUGCCGUUGAAACUGGCAAACUGGAGUGUGUGAGAGGAAAGUGGAAUUCGAGGUGUAGGGGUGAAAUCCGUAGAUAUCUGGAGGAACAUCAGUGGCGAAGGCGACUAACUGGCACAUAACUGACGCUGAGGAGCGAAAGCGUGGGUAGCAAACAGGAUUAGAUACCCCUGUAGUC